CCUUGCGAAAGUAUUCGGCCCCCUUGAACUUUGCGACCUUUUGCCACAUUUCAGGCUUCAAACAUAAAGAUAUAAAACUGUAUUUUUUUUGUGAAGAAUCAACAACAAGUGGGACACAAUCAUGAAGUGGAACGACAUUUAUUGGAUAUUUCAAACUUUUUUAACAAAUCAAAAACUGAAAAAUUGGGCGUGCAAAAUUAUUCAGCCCCCUUAAGUUAAUACUUUGUAGCGCCACCUUUUGCUGCGAUUACAGCUGUAAGUCGCUUGGGGUAUGUCUCUAUCAGUUUUGCACAUCGAGAGACUGACAUUUUUUCCCAUUCCUCCUUGCAAAACAGCUCGAGCUCAGUGAGGUUGGAUGGAGAGCAUUUGUGAACAGCAGUUUUCAGUUCUUUCCACAGAUUCUCGAUUGNNNNNNNNNNUGGGUGUUACACAACCUGUUCCUCGCUUCAUAUUGAUUUUAGUUGAACAGUAACCCCCACAAAUUGUACAUACACUGAGUAUACCAAACAUUAAGAACACCUUCCUAAUAUUGAGUUUUGCCCUUAGAACAGCCUCAAUUUGUUGUGCCAUGGACUCAACAGUUGUCGAAAGCGUUCUACAUAGAUGCUGGCCCAAGUUGGCUUGACGUCCUUUGGGUGGUGGACAAUUCUUGAUACACGCAAGAAACUGUUGAGUGUGAAAAACCCAGCAGUGUUGCAGUUCUUUAUACAAACUGGUGCACCNNNNNNNNNNAGUUACAUCAUCACUGCAUGGAAUGAGAAGGGAGAACAAACCUCCCAAAACUUUGACAUCAAAGAAUAUGUGUUGCCCAAAUAUGAGGUGAAAGUCCAUCUUCCCCAAACAAUAACUAUUCUGGACAAUCAAGCAACACUGAGAGUUUGUGGGAAGUAAGUGAAUAAGACGAUGGCGCGUGACAGACAAUAAGAUGAUAAUGACCAGCAAGAUAAUGAUAAUGACAAACAAGCUUUUACCCAAGGACAUUUUAUGGGCAGAAUAUUAGGACUUAAUGUGUNNNNNNNNNNCAACUGUUAACCUCUGACCCUUGCCUGUGUUCUCUCCAGGGGUCAUCCUUAAAGGUAGUGGCAAGGCAAGCUUUACCAAUGUCAUUGUAACUGUUUGUUUUGAGGACGUGCCCCAAGCAUAUAAACCAGGGAUUGCAUAUGAGGGGAAGGUGAGGACAAAAUAUAUUAAAUGCCUUUUUAAUAACACUGCAGGGAAACGGAUUUCUCAGGAAAAUCUUUGAAAGAUGUUAUGAUAAAUGUUAAUGCAUCAUUUGGAGCAUCUAAACCAUGAUUUUGAUGUGUUGUGUGCAAUGGGAGUUUACAUGUAGUAUAUUGGACAUCUGCAGUCAUCCUNNNNNNNNNNUUUUUCAGUUUUUGAUUUGUUAAAAAAGUUUGAAAUAUCCAAUAAAUGUCGUUCCACUUCAUGAUUGUGUCCCACUUGUUGUUGAUUCUUCACAAAAAAAUACAGUUUUAUAUCUUUGUUUGAAGCCUGAAAUGUGGCAAAAGGUCGCAAAGUUCAAGGGGGCCGAAUACUUUCGCAAGGCACUGUAUAUCUGAAGAGUUAUCUACAAACAGGAGUGCUCAACUCGAUAACAUGCAUGCAGUUUUGUUGAACGUUACUCAAAGUAACACGAUUCUACUCAAAACGCUGCAGACCAAAGACGAUCAGUUAAUGAACACAAUGACAAAGUUUGAUGACAAAUCAGCAGAACUCAUUGAAGUUGCUGAACAAAUGAAUGAUGAGAGAACUCAAGUGAAAUAUUGCUUUCUAAGCAAGCGGAGGAAAUCUCAUCACUGAAUCUCUCGCUCCAUACUCAAGACCUCUAUCUGCAAACCAUGACAGAUACGUUUGAGAUCGAAAGGCGCAAGUGUGACACUCACAUGUCCAAAAUCAGUACUCU
rnacentral:lncRNA from 13 species